rnacentral:rRNA from 1 species
UACGUAGGGUGCGAGCGUUAAUCGGAAUUACUGGGCGUAAAGCGCGCGCAGGCGGCUUUGCAAGACAGAUGUGAAAUCCCCGGGCUCAACCUGGGAACUGCAUUUGUGACUGCAAGGCUAGAGUACGGCAGAGGGGGAUGGAAUUCCGCGUGUAGCAGUGAAAUGCGUAGAUAUGCGGAGGAACACCAAUGGCGAAGGCAAUCCCCUGGGCCUGUAAUGACGCUCAUGCACGAAAGCGUGGGGAGCAAACAGG